AUUCAGCUGACAAGUCCCAAAUAGGAAGAAACUCGUGUGUUGAAU
rnacentral:hammerhead_ribozyme from 1 species